rnacentral:RNase_P_RNA from 1 species
CGAGCGGGUGAUGCGGUCGCUCGGCCCUUCGGGACCGGGAGGAAAGUCCGAACUCCACAGGGCACGAUGGUCGCUAACGGCGACCGGCCGCAAGGCCAGGGAAAGUGCAACAGAGAGCAGACCGCCGAUGGCCCGUCCUCGCUUCGGCGAAGGCGGGAUCAGGCAAGGGUGAAACGGUGCGGUAAGAGCGCACCGCCCGCCUGGCGACAGGCGGGGCACGGCAAACCCCAUCGGGAGCAAGGCCAAAUAGGGGGCGAGGAACGGCCCGUUCCGUUCUCCGAAAGGGGAUAAGCCCCGGGUUGGCUGCUAGAGUCGCGCGGCAACGCGCGACCCAGACAAAUGGCCGCACCCGCCGUCGCCUCGGCUUGCCGGGGCUGGGGCGGGCACAGGAUUCGGCUUACGGCCCGCUCGCCGG